UCUUUUGAUACGAUUCAGAUACUGUUAAGCUACUGAAAAUUGUAAUUAAGUUAGAAGCAUCAACCCUUUUAGUUACUCCCAAACACUGCUAAUUGCCAAUGUUAAUAAAACUGUACACAAGUAUCAUUUAAAAGCAUAUCAUGUUUUGGUAACAGCUUAUAACAGUUAAAGUUCAUAGCUUAUUGUUCUCAUAUUUUCCUUCAGUCUUCGGUGCAAGCAUUACAAACAUGCUCUCAGACACAGGAUAUGUGAAGUUUCCCAGCAUAAACAACCUACAAACAGUAAUAAUAUCUGCAUUUUCUGUAUUAACUGUUCAAUUAUUACAGAAAGGAUGAGGUCUAUGAUUACACCUGGUGUAACCCCCGCCAAAACUGACUUCACCUUUCUGUCUUGGUCACUGCACAUCAGAAGAUCCCAUAAACCGCUACAAAGGCAUGUAAUUUUGGGAGCGUUUCAAAGGGAGGUCAGGCUGGUAUGUAGGAAAGUGCUUUGCCUAGGCUAAAACAACAGUCUAGCAAGAGCCGCCAUGGCAACAUCUGUAUCCAAUAACACACUACAUCCUACCAGAGAUCCGCAGUAACGAGAACAGCGCGGAAGAGGCUGUGGAUCUAGAAGAGAUGUCAAAUUUAGGUUAGCGCACGGUGCAAGAGUUGAGAUGCUUCAUUAAAUGAGAUGAGAAGACGAUCAGAGACCAGACAUGAGGAUAAAACGUUAUUUUUGUCUGCCGUGAAGUGACAUGACCAUCCCAUGCAUGGCCUCUGCGUCUGAGACCUGUGCGUGAUUAAGACAGAGAAAGAACUCAGAACGGGUAAUAUAAUCAACCAAAAGCACAAAACCAGAGAGGAAGCACUGCGAACAUGCCCAGUUCCAGAUGUACGGACAGCCAAGUGCCAAGACAAGGCUGGGAAGAGGAGUAGAGGAGGUUGAGGAGAAAACAGGAAGUUUUCUGAAUAACAUGAGCCUCCUCCUUCUCAGAUCUUCUCCAGGAAAAGACGUCAGCAAUCUCACAAUGUCUCAAACUGUUCUCAUAUUUGCCAGAAAUCUACCAAAGAUCAAGAAACAUGCCUGUUUAUGCUUUGAAUACACUAUUUAGAGCCAAACAGCAAUAAAAAUAGUCAAAUCUGCA
ensembl:lncRNA